AGGAGGCGGGGGACGGGGAGCGGCCCGGGCCGCUCGCGGGAGGCGGGUUGAGUGACAGCCGGGGCGCGGGGGGCGCGGCGGGCGCGGCGCGGGGGUCGGCGUGCGCGUCCCCAGCCCCCGCCCGUGCCCGUCCGCAGCCGCCAUGGUGCGCAGGAACGUGCUGGCCGAGGCGCUCGGGAGCGUCAGCGACACCCCCGAGAGGCGCGGCCAGCGCCGGGUGCUCAUCGGCCGUGCUCCGAGGUCGCCGUCAGGCUCCUCCGUCACGAGGAAGCGCGGCUACAUCGGGAGUUUGAAGUCAUUGACGAUCACCGCGCCGGGACGAUCGUCGUGGACCCUACAGGCAGGUUGAACAAGUGUGGCGUGAUCAGCCCCAGAUUUGACGUGCAGCUCAAAGAUCUAGAAAAGUGGCAGAACAACCUGCUCCCAUCCUGUCAGUUCGGUUUCCUUGUACUGACAACCUCAGCUGGCAUCACGGACCAUGAAGAAGCAAGACGAAAACACACAGGAGGGAAAAUCCUGGGAUUCUUUUUCUAGAGAUGUAAAACUAUGAGCAAAUAAAAAGCCUCCCUGGA